rnacentral:rRNA from 1 species
AAUUCGCCCUUAGAGUUUGAUAUGGCUCAGGAUGAACGCUGGCGGCGUGCCUAAUACAUGCAAGUCGAACGAAACUUCUUUAUCACCGAGUGCUUGCACUCACCGAUAAAGAGUUGAGUGGCGAACGGGUGAGUAACACGUGGGCAACCUGCCCAAAAGAGGGGGAUAACACUUGGAAACAGGUGCUAAUACCGCAUAACCAUAGUUACCGCAUGGUAACUAUGUAAAAGGUGGCUAUGCUACCGCUUUUGGAUGGGCCCGCGGCGCAUUAGCUAAUUGGUGGGGUAAAGGCUUACCAAGGCAAUGAUGCGUAGCCGAACUGAGAGGUUGAUCGGCCACAUUGGGACUGAGACACGGCCCAAACUCCUACGGGAGGCAGCAGUAGGGAAUCUUCCACAAUGGGCGAAAGCCUGAUGGAGCAACGCCGCGUGGGUGAAGAAGGUCUUCGGAUCGUAAAACCCUGUUGUUAGAGAAGAAAGUGCGUGAGAGUAACUGUUCACGUUUCGACGGUAUCUAACCAGAAAGCCACGGCUAACUACGUGCCAGCAGCCGCGGUAAUACGUAGGUGGCAAGCGUUAUCCGGAUUUAUUGGGCGUAAAGGGAACGCAGGCGGUCUUUUAAGUCUGAUGUGAAAGCCUUCGGCUUAACCGGAGUAGUGCAUUGGAAACUGGGAGACUUGAGUGCAGAAGAGGAGAGUGGAACUCCAUGUGUAGCGGUGAAAUGCGUAGAUAUAUGGAAGAACACCAGUGGCGAAAGCGGCUCUCUGGUCUGUAACUGACGCUGAGGUUCGAAAGCGUGGGUAGCAAACAGGAUUAGAUACCC